AACGAACGCUGGCGGCAUGCCUAACACAUGCAAGUCGAACGAGAUCUUCGGGUCUAGUGGCGCACGGGUGCGUAACGCGUGGGAAUCUGCCCUUUGGUUCGGAAUAACAGUUGGAAACGACUGCUAAUACCGGAUGAUGACGAAAGUCCAAAGAUUUAUCGCCAGAGGAUGAGCCCGCGUAGGAUUAGCUAGUUGGUGAGGUAAAGGCGCACCAAGGCGACGAUCCUUAGCUGGUCUGAGAGGAUGAUCAGCCACACUGGGACUGAGACACGGCACAGACUACUACGGGAGGCAGCAGUGGGGAAUAUUGGACAAUGGGCGAAAGCCUGAUCCAGCAAUGCCGCGUGAGUGAUGAAGGCCUUAGGGUUGUAAAGCUCUUUUACCCGGGAUGAUAAUGACAGUACCGGGAGAAUAAGCUCCGGCUAACUCCGUGCCAGCCGCCGCGGUAA
rnacentral:rRNA from 1 species